rnacentral:lncRNA from 7 species
CAGAACUGUAUAGAGAAAGAGAAGAUCAAACCAAACAUCGCUUGAGAAUCUGGACCAUAAGGAACCACAACAGAAACUAAGACACGAAGAACCUCAACGCUUUUAAGGGACACUCCUCUAUAUGGCUGUCCAUUAACCCAAACUGAGAGGUCUCCUUUCUUAUAUGCUGGACACCAUCCAUUUCCUGUUCCUCAGGGUACUUGAAGGCUGAAGCAGCCCAAAUGAUGAUUUUUGCUGCCAGCUGGGGGCACUCAGCCCAGGCCUUGAGCUGGUUGUAGGUGACUGAAAUUUGAGCGCUACCAGGAGGAUCCUCCAUAAUUCCUCAUCCCAAACUGUGAACUGAAUUCAGUGUUCACCUCUGAACAGGGAUAAGAAAACCAGCCUGGAAAAUAAUACUCAUUUCAGUAAUGCUACCCACACUGCAUCCAACCUGAGAGUCUGAACAUCAGCAUCCAUAGUGUUGACUGGUGGGACCUGCACUUGGGAUGUUGUGCAAACCCCAGACAGAUUGUGACAGAAGACUAGCAUACUUCAGAAACAUUUCUGCUGGUCCAGAUAGAAGUAGAAGCAGCUGGCAGAGACUCCGUGACAGAAAAGAACAGCACGUUAGGCAAUGCAGUGGAAAGGUAAAGGAACAUGGUCUUUCUUAGUAACUUUAAGUCAUAAUAGCAAAACAUAUUUUACAGGCGUGAACACCAAUUUAAUUCACAAGAAAUUCCAAUAAAAUAAGUAGUAC